rnacentral:tRNA from 1 species
GCCUGGGUGGCUCAGUCGGUUAAGCGUCCGACUUCGGCUCAGGUCACGAUCUCACGGUUUGUGGGUUCGAGCCCCACGUCAGGCU